rnacentral:rRNA from 1 species
GAUGAACGCUGGCGGCGUGCCUAAUACAUGCAAGUCGAGCGAACGGACGAGAAGCUUGCUUCUCUGAUGUUAGCGGCGGACGGGUGAGUAACACGUGGAUAACCUACCUAUAAGACUGGGAUAACUUCGGGAAACCGGAGCUAAUACCGGAUAAUAUUUUGAACCGCAUGGUUCAAAAGUGAAAGACGGUCUAGCUGUCACUUAUAGAUGGAUCCGCGCUGCAUUAGCUAGUUGGUAAGGUAACGGCUUACCAAGGCAACGAUGCAUAGCCGACCUGAGAGGGUGAUCGGCCACACUGGAACUGAGACACGGUCCAGACUCCUACGGGAGGCAGCAGUAGGGAAUCUUCCGCAAUGGGCGAAAGCCUGACGGAGCAACGCCGCGUGAGUGAUGAAGGUCUUCGGAUCGUAAAACUCUGUUAUUAGGGAAGAACAUAUGUGUAAGUAACUGUGCACAUCUUGACGGUACCUAAUCAGAAAGCCACGGCUAACUACGUG